rnacentral:rRNA from 1 species
UACGGAGGGUGCAAGCGUUAUCCGGAUUUACUGGGUUUAAAGGGUGCGUAGGUGGGUAGGUAAGUCAGUGGUGAAAUCUUCGAGCUUAACUCGGAAACUGCCAUUGAUACUAUUUAUCUUGAAUACUCUGGAGGUAAGCGGAAUAUGUCAUGUAGCGGUGAAAUGCUUAGAUAUGACAUAGAACACCAAUUGCGAAGGCAGCUUACUACAUAGUUAUUGACACCGAGGCACGAAAGCGUGGGGAUCAAACAGG